GUCCCGGUAGCUCAAUGGUAGAGCUCCUGUAUGUGGCUGGAGAAAGCGCCUAGCAAUAAAUGUAAGGAAGUCGCAGAUUCAAAUCCUGACCGGUGAUA
rnacentral:tRNA from 1 species